GGUAAGUGGUUUAAAUAGUAAAGCGUCCGACAAGUAAUCGUAAAGAUCUAGGUUCGAGUCCUGGCUUGGUUCU
rnacentral:tRNA from 1 species